rnacentral:lncRNA from 1 species
CAACGUAUGGCUUGCAAAAGUUCAGUCCAAAAUAUUAGUCUGAUGAAGUUACAAAAUCUGAAUAUGAGAUAAUUUAAUGCUGGGACUUCUGGCUAGUUCCUCCUGAAGAUUUCAUCUGGGGUAUCUUGGACAGGAACAGUUAUGAUCCAGAGAUGACUAUGUUUCAGCAGCACAGAUUUGAGGUCAAGCAAAACAGUGAUUACUACUGGACAGAUUUUCUCCAAUGGAUUUAACAGGAAAGAAAGGGAUUUUGAAGAUGUCACAUACUGUUCUAGCAGGAUGUGCUGGCCCAGACUUCACUAAAUGACCUCUCCUGUUAGGCAUGUCAGUCACAAUGUGACUUACUAAUUUAGAAAGCCUGAGAGAGCAAGAGGAGUAAGGUGGAAAAAAUACAGAGCAGGGGUACAACAUGCAAAUCAUUGCAUUAAAAGGUCAGUCUGUUCUCACUUACCCGUAACUAGCUUGUCCCAUUUGCAACACAUAUCACUGCCCAGUCAUUUAAUUCUGUAAAAUGAAACUCCAAA